GAUGAAGAACGCAGCGAAAUGCGAUACGUAAUGUGAAUUGCAGAAUUCAGUGAAUCAUCGAGUCUUUGAACGCACAUUGCGCCCCCUGGUAUUCCGGGGGGCAUGCCUGUCCGAGCGUCAUUGCUGCCCUCAAGCACGGCUUGGUAUUGGGUGCUUGUCCCGCCUCUCGCGCGGCGACUCACCUCAAAGUCAUUGGCAGCCCGCAUCUCGCCGGCCGUGAGCGCAGCACAGACGCGCUCUUGGCAACGACGGAUCGGCUCUCCAAAAGCUUAUUUCAACCACUGACCUCGGAUCAGGUAGGGAUACCCGCUGAACUUAAGCAUAUCAAUAAGCGGAGGA
rnacentral:misc_RNA from 1 species